GACGAACGCUGGCGGCGUGCUUAACACAUGCAAGUCGAACGGAAAGGCCCCCUUGUGGGGUACUCGAGUGGCGAACGGGUGCGUAACACGUGAGUAACCUACCCUUGACUUUGUGAUAACUUCAGGAAACUGGGGCUAAUACCUGAUAGGAGCUCCUGCUGCAUGGUGGGGGUUGGAAAGUUUCGGCGGUUGGGGAUGGACUCGCGGCUUAUCAGCUUGUUGGUGGGGUAGUGGCUCACCAAGGCUUUGACGGGUAGCCGGCCUGAGAGGGUGACCGGCCACAUUGGGACUGAGAUACGGCCCAGACUCCUACGGGAGGCAGCAGUGGGGAAUAUUGCACAAUGGGCGGAAGCCUGAUGCAGCAACGCCGCGUGCGGGAUGACGGCCUUCGGGUUGUAAACCGCUUUCGCCUGUGACGAAGCGUGAGUGACGGUAAUGGGUAAAGAAGCACCGGCUAACUACGUG
rnacentral:rRNA from 1 species